rnacentral:rRNA from 1 species
GGGUUGUGAGGUUAAGCGACUAAGCGUACACGGUGGAUGCCCUGGCAGUCAGAGGCGAUGAAGGACGUGCUAAUCUGCGAUAAGCGUCGGUAAGGUGAUAUGAACCGUUAUAACCGGCGAUUUCCGAAUGGGGAAACCCAGUGUGAUUCGUCACACUAUCAUUAACUGAAUCCAUAGGUUAAUGAGGCGAACCGGGGGAACUGAAACAUCUAAGUACCCCGAGGAAAAGAAAUCAACCGAGAUUCCCCCAGUAGCGGCGAGCGAACGGGGAGCAGCCCAGAGCCUGAAUCAGUGUGUGUGUUAGUGGAAGCGUCUGGAAAGGCGCGCGAUACAGGGUGACAGCCCCGUACACAAAAAUGCACAUAUUGUGAGCUCGAUGAGUAGGGCGGGACACGUGGUAUCCUGUCUGAAUAUGGGGGGACCAUCCUCCAAGGCUAAAUACUCCUGACUGACCGAUAGUGAACCAGUACCGUGAGGGAAAGGCGAAAAGAACCCCGGCGAGGGGAGUGAAAAAGAACCUGAAACCGUGUACGUACAAGCAGUGGGAGCACGCUUAGGCGUGUGACUGCGUACCUUUUGUAUAAUGGGUCAGCGACUUAUAUUCUGUAGCAAGGUUAACCGAAUAGGGGAGCCGAAGGGAAACCGAGUCUUAACUGGGCGUUAAGUUGCAGGGUAUAGACCCGAAACCCGGUGAUCUAGCCAUGGGCAGGUUGAAGGUUGGGUAACACUAACUGGAGGACCGAACCGACUAAUGUUGAAAAAUUAGCGGAUGACUUGUGGCUGGGGGUGAAAGGCCAAUCAAACCGGGAGAUAGCUGGUUCUCCCCGAAAGCUAUUUAGGUAGCGCCUCGUGAAUUCAUCUCCGGGGGUAGAGCACUGUUUCGGCAAGGGGGUCAUCCCGACUUACCAACCCGAUGCAAACUGCGAAUACCGGAGAAUGUUAUCACGGGAGACACACGGCGGGUGCUAACGUCCGUCGUGAAGAGGGAAACAACCCAGACCGCCAGCUAAGGUCCCAAAGUCAUGGUUAAGUGGGAAACGAUGUGGGAAGGCCCAGACAGCCAGGAUGUUGGCUUAGAAGCAGCCAUCAUUUAAAGAAAGCGUAAUAGCUCACUGGUCGAGUCGGCCUGCGCGGAAGAUGUAACGGGGCUAAACCAUGCACCGAAGCUGCGGCAGCGACGCUUAUGCGUUGUUGGGUAGGGGAGCGUUCUGUAAGCCUGUGAAGGUGUGCUGUGAGGCAUGCUGGAGGUAUCAGAAGUGCGAAUGCUGACAUAAGUAACGAUAAAGCGGGUGAAAAGCCCGCUCGCCGGAAGACCAAGGGUUCCUGUCCAACGUUAAUCGGGGCAGGGUGAGUCGACCCCUAAGGCGAGGCCGAAAGGCGUAGUCGAUGGGAAACAGGUUAAUAUUCCUGUACUUGGUGUUACUGCGAAGGGGGGACGGAGAAGGCUAUGUUGGCCGGGCGACGGUUGUCCCGGUUUAAGCGUGUAGGCUGGUUUUCCAGGCAAAUCCGGAAAAUCAAGGCUGAGGCGUGAUGACGAGGCACUACGGUGCUGAAGCAACAAAUGCCCUGCUUCCAGGAAAAGCCUCUAAGCAUCAGGUAACAUCAAAUCGUACCCCAAACCGACACAGGUGGUCAGGUAGAGAAUACCAAGGCGCUUGAGAGAACUCGGGUGAAGGAACUAGGCAAAAUGGUGCCGUAACUUCGGGAGAAGGCACGCUGAUAUGUAGGUGAAGUCCCUUGCGGAUGGAGCUGAAAUCAGUCGAAGAUACCAGCUGGCUGCAACUGUUUAUUAAAAACACAGCACUGUGCAAACACGAAAGUGGACGUAUACGGUGUGACGCCUGCCCGGUGCCGGAAGGUUAAUUGAUGGGGUUAGCCGCAAGGCGAAGCUCUUGAUCGAAGCCCCGGUAAACGGCGGCCGUAACUAUAACGGUCCUAAGGUAGCGAAAUUCCUUGUCGGGUAAGUUCCGACCUGCACGAAUGGCGUAAUGAUGGCCAGGCUGUCUCCACCCGAGACUCAGUGAAAUUGAACUCGCUGUGAAGAUGCAGUGUACCCGCGGCAAGACGGAAAGACCCCGUGAACCUUUACUAUAGCUUGACACUGAACAUUGAGCCUUGAUGUGUAGGAUAGGUGGGAGGCUUUGAAGUGUGGACGCCAGUCUGCAUGGAGCCGACCUUGAAAUACCACCCUUUAAUGUUUGAUGUUCUAACGUUGACCCGUGAUCCGGGUUGCGGACAGUGUCUGGUGGGUAGUUUGACUGGGGCGGUCUCCUCCUAAAGAGUAACGGAGGAGCACGAAGGUUGGCUAAUCCUGGUCGGACAUCAGGAGGUUAGUGCAAUGGCAUAAGCCAGCUUGACUGCGAGCGUGACGGCGCGAGCAGGUGCGAAAGCAGGUCAUAGUGAUCCGGUGGUUCUGAAUGGAAGGGCCAUCGCUCAACGGAUAAAAGGUACUCCGGGGAUAACAGGCUGAUACCGCCCAAGAGUUCAUAUCGACGGCGGUGUUUGGCACCUCGAUGUCGGCUCAUCACAUCCUGGGGCUGAAGUAGGUCCCAAGGGUAUGGCUGUUCGCCAUUUAAAGUGGUACGCGAGCUGGGUUUAGAACGUCGUGAGACAGUUCGGUCCCUAUCUGCCGUGGGCGCUGGAGAACUGAGGGGGGCUGCUCCUAGUACGAGAGGACCGGAGUGGACGCAUCACUGGUGUUCGGGUUGUCAUGCCAAUGGCACUGCCCGGUAGCUAAAUGCGGAAGAGAUAAGUGCUGAAAGCAUCUAAGCACGAAACUUGCCCCGAGAUGAGUUCUCCCUGACUCCUUGAGAGUCCUGAAGGAACGUUGAAGACGACGACGUUGAUAGGCCGGGUGUGUAAGCGCAGCGAUGCGUUGAGCUAACCGGUACUAAUGAACCGUGAGGCUUAACCUUACAACGCCGAAG